rnacentral:sRNA from 1 species
UCAAUGCCCACCUGGGGAAUGACCGGG